AGUGAACGCUGGCGGUAGGCCUAACACAUGCAAGUCGAACGGCAGCACAGUAAGAGCUUGCUCUUACGGGUGGCGAGUGGCGGACGGGUGAGGAAUACAUCGGAAUCUACUUUUUCGUGGGGGAUAACGUAGGGAAACUUACGCUAAUACCGCAUACGACCUACGGGUGAAAGCAGGGGAUCUUCGGACCUUGCGCGAUUGAAUGAGCCGAUGUCGGAUUAGCUAGUUGGCGGGGUAAAGGCCCACCAAGGCGACGAUCCGUAGCUGGUCUGAGAGGAUGAUCAGCCACACUGGAACUGAGACACGGUCCAGACACCUACGGGAGGCAGCAGUAGGGAAUAUUGGACAAUGGGCGCAAGCCUGAUCCAGCCAUGCCGCGUGGGUGAAGAAGGCCUUCGGGUUGUAAAGCCCUUUUGUUGGGAAAGAAAAGCAGCAAGUUAAUACCCCGCUGUUCUGACGGUACCCAAAGAAUAAGCACCGGCUAACUUCGUG
rnacentral:rRNA from 1 species